rnacentral:lncRNA from 1 species
AGAGGUGCCGGUUCGGCAGAGACGUCGGGUUUUAAAGUUGAAGCUGCUCGCCGUGACGGUCCGUCCCCACGGACUCUCGGGGAGAGCCAAGGACGGGAUCGGUUUCCCCCGCAGCUCCGGAAGGCGUCUUUGAAUUUCUGCUGACGGGUCACUGAUCACCGGUGUCAUCUCACUCCGCUCUCACUCCGCCGGGCAGCCGAGGGCUCCAGACGCGUUUUUAGACGAAGUUCCUGAGCCGCCGGUCGGCUGUCGGUGUUCACCGUGCUCGGGGCCCGAGCCGGAGUGGCCCCCACCCUCGCUGGCAGCGCGGACAGCGCCCCCCCGCCCGGCCCUCCC